ACUCAGAGUGAGAUUUCUAAUCUAAUAAUUCCAAGCUCUCUCUCCAACGAAGCUCUCUCUCUCUCUCUCUCUCUCUCUCUCUCCAUUCUUCUCCUCACCCCACAAGAAGCUUCGUCUCCAACUGCAAGCCAGCCACAGACCCACAGUCGAUGUUAGCCCAAGGGGCUGCCAAAGUCGCUGUCAAACAUAGUUUGUAGAUUGGCCUUGUCUGUCAAGUCCCAAAGGACUGAAACCUUGCUCGCGUCGCGUCGUGCCGUCACGUGUUCCGUCGAAGUCAUCGGUCGGCGUCCCGUCUUCGUCCCUUUUUAGAUCUAAGCCGUGCGUCAGAGUAAGGAAGAAGAUGGAGUAAGGGUUCUUAAUCUUUGAUGCAUCCGUCUUCUCCUCACUUUAGAUCUAAGCCGCAUGUCCGUCUUCUCCCCUCUUGAUGAGAUCCCUGUCCUCUGCGAUGUUGAGGUCACUCUUAUUGUCUUCUCCCACAAAGGAAAGCUUUGAGUAUUCCACUGAUUCUUGAGAUGAGUUAUUGGUCUCCAUCAUUUGUUCUUAAUAAUCAGCAUAUGCCAUUGUCUGCUGCAAGCACCAAAACUUCUGUUAGUAUCAAAAGCAGCGCCUGUUUUAUAAGUAGUCUGAGCCAACAAAGGUGCUAUCUCUCUGUUGCUGAAGACCAUUAUAAAAUCAGGAGACUCAGGAUUUUUGGGGUAAUUCUAUAUAGACAAGGAUUGUCACAUUUGCAGGCCCAACAAGGAACUUGGGAAGAACCUGAUGAUGGUAGUGGGAGUAUGAUGAUGAAGAAGAAGAUGAGCAAACAGAAGAUGAGAACUAUGGCUUUGAAAGUGAUUGGGAAGAGGAAGGGAUUACAGCAUUAGCCAUUAAUGGUGCUAUUUCACUGGACAAGUAUGGGGAGGAUAUUAAAAAAGGCACUUUCCCUAUGCCUAUGAUUUUUUUUUUAAAAAAACUCUUUUGCAGUCAGACCUGGACAUCUUGCUUUCAAUAUAUUAUGGUUUAAGUGAAGUUCCAGAUUAUGGAAUGUUCAGAAGUAUAGGAAAAUGAUGAUGCUGAAUCCAGGAACCAAUAUGAGGUUUCAUCAGGAAACAACGGUUUCCCACUGGAAAACAGCAGGAAGCAGAGUGAUGCAGCUCAAGGCCUAAGUUUUGCAGAGGAACAAAACGCUGUUGAAGGAGCAUGAGAAGAGAGGGAAGUCAUCGGUGUUUGUUGUGGUACCAUAUUAGCUUUUAGGAUGUAAUCCAUUAUGCAUAGGGAAUUUUUAAAAUUUUAAAUUGUAUGACUCCAAAUACUGAUUGAAUUUUGACUAGUUUGUAAUGAUGUAUAAUUUUAUAAUGUUUAAUGAAUUUAUGCUUUGUAGUGUUUAAA